rnacentral:rRNA from 1 species
CUUGUUGGUGGGGUAACAGCCUACCAAGGCGACGACGGGUAGCCGGCCUGAGAGGGCGACCGGCCACACUGGGACUGAGACACGGCCCAGACUCCUACGGGAGGCAGCAGUGGGGAAUAUUGCGCAAUGGGCGAAAGCCUGACGCAGCGACGCCGCGUGGGGGAUGAAGGCCUUCGGGUUGUAAACCCCUUUCGGCAGGGACGAAGCGAAAGUGACGGUACCUGCAGAAGAAGCGCCGGCUAACUACGUGCCAGCAGCCGCGGUAACACGUAGGGCGCAAGCGUUGUCCGGAAUCAUUGGGCGUAAAGAGCUCGUAGGCGGUCCGUUGCGUCCGCUGUGAAAACUCGGGGCUUAACCCCGAGCUUGCAGUGGAUACGGGCAGACUAGAGGUAGGUAGGGGAGAAUGGAAUUCCCGGUGUAGCGGUGAAAUGCGCAGAUAUCGGGAGGAACACCGGUGGCGAAGGCGGUUCUCUGGGCCUUACCUGACGCUGAGGAGCGAAAGCGUGGGGAGCGAACAGGAUUAGAUACCCUGGUAGUCCACGCCGUAAACGUUGGGCGCUAGGUGUGGGGUCCUUCCACGGACUCCGUGCCGCAGCUAACGCAUUAAGCGCCCCGCCUGGGGAGUACGGCCGCAAGGCUAAAACUCAAAGGAAUUGACG